rnacentral:lncRNA from 1 species
CCUGUCUUUAAAGAAAGUGUUUAAAUGCUCAUUAAGUGGAGGUGGAUCAUCAUAAAGUUCUUCAUCCCUCUCAUCUUCAUAUUGAGUAGGCUGAGGAAAAGGUGGAAGGUGGGGAUUGGUCUUGCUAUCUCCGGAGUGGCAGAGGCAGAAGAAAAUCUGCAUAUAUGUGGACCCAUGCAGUUCAAGCCCAUGAUGUUCAGGGGUAACCGUACUUGUAAUAUGAUUACAAAGACUGCUUCAGAUUUCUUUAGAGUUAGUUCUCUUUGUCCUUAGAAUAUGUCCUUCUUAGGAAUGUACAGUGAGGCAGUUAUUAAUUCCAGGAAAAACAAAAAGUUAUGCAAGAAAGAAAAUAUAAACAUAGAAUGCCCUAAGAUGUCACUGUGAGCAACAUUUUUGACAUCAUAAAAAUGGAAGCACUGAAUAUUUAAUCAAAAAUUGCAAUGGGAGAAUGAGAGAAGGAAGAGAACUAAAGCCUCAUUUCACAAAAGGAAACCAGUAUAUAAUGUCUAAAAUGGAAGAAACCGAUUUUUAAAAAUGGUCUGAGUUUGAUACUGACAUGAAAGUUUUCUUUUUCUCCAGUCGAAUUUAAAUUGCCACUCAUUUCCAUCACACGGAAUUUACACUCACUCCUCUUCUCUGCUGCCUCCCAGCCACCCUUUUUGACUCCAGCUCAGGAAAUGGAGACAUCUUUUUUUUUUUUUUUACUGAAGUGGGAUUGUUAUUUAAAUGUUCUUUGGGUAAUCCUGUUCCCUGGACAACCCUGACUUGGACAGUGUCCCCUAGGGCAGACCCUCCAAUUCAGGUUGGAUCUCUUGCCAGGCAGAUGUGUGAGUUCUCUGUGGCAGUAGCUCAGGCAGGCUGAGGGAGGGGUGGCGAUUAGCGCGCUCCUUCAGCUCCUUCACCGAGGAGGGGAUUUGAAGUGAAUCUUGG